rnacentral:snRNA from 1 species
UCCGGAGACGUCGGCGGGGG